rnacentral:rRNA from 1 species
UACGUAGGGUGCAAGCGUUGUCCGGAAUUAUUGGGCGUAAAGAGCUCGUAGGCGGUUUGUCACGUCGGAUGUGAAACCCUGAGGCUCAACCUCAGGCCUGCAUUCGAUACGGGCAGACUAGAAUUCGGCAGGGGAGACUGGAAUUUACGGUGUAGCGGUGAAAUGCGUAGAUAUCGUAAGGAAGACCAGUGGCGAAGGCGGGUCUCUGGACAGUUCCUGACGCUGAGGCACGAAGGCCAGGGGAGCAAACGGG